GACGAACGCUGGCGGCGUGCUUAACACAUGCAAGUCGAACGGAAAGGCCCCUUCGGGGGUCCUCGAGUGGCGAACGGGUGAGUAACACGUGAGUAACCUGCCCUUGACUUCGGGAUAACUUCAGGAAACUGGGGCUAAUACCGGAUAGGAAUCCUUGCUGCAUGGUGGGGGUUGGAAAGCUUCGGCGGUUUUAGAUGGACUCGCGGCUUAUCAGCUUGUUGGUGGGGUAGUGGCUUACCAAGGCUUUGACGGGUAGCCGGCCUGAGAGGGCGACCGGCCACAUUGGGACUGAGAGACGGCCCAGACGCCGACGGGAGGCAGCAGUGGGGAAUAUUGCACAAGGGGCGGAAGCCUGAUGCAGCAACGCCGCGGGCGGGAUGACGGCCUUCGGGUUGUAAACCGCUUUCAGCAGGGGCGAAGCUUGUGGUGACGGUACCUGCAGAAGAAGCACCGGCUAACUACGUG
rnacentral:rRNA from 1 species